rnacentral:rRNA from 1 species
AGCAGCCGCGGUAAUUCCAGCUCCAAUAGCGUAUAUUAAAGUUGCUGCAGUUAAAAAGCUCGUAGUUGAAUUUCGGGAUCAAUAUGUUGGUCGUGCCUUGGUGCGUACUAGUUUAUUGAUUUCUCCUUUCUGACGAACUAUGAUGCCAUUAAUUUGGUGUCAUGGGGAAUCAGGACUGUUACUUUGAAAAAAUUAGAGUGUUUAAAGCAGGCUCACGCUUGAAUACAUUAGCAUGGAAUAAUAAAAUAGGACGUUUGAUUCUAUUUUGUUGGUUUCUAGGAUCGACGUAAUGAUUAAUAGGGAUAGUUGGGGGCAUUAGUAUUCAAUUGUCAGAGGUGAAAUUCUUGGAUUUAUUGAAGACUAACUACUGCGAAAGCAUUUGCCAAGGAUGUUUUCAUUAAUCAAGAACGAAAGUUAGGGGAUCGAAGACGAUCAGAUACCGUCGUAGUC